rnacentral:rRNA from 1 species
AUGGGGGCGCCGCCGUGGGCGAUCUGGGCGCUGCUGCUGCUUCACCAGGCCGCGCGCGUGCUUGCAAACACGGAAGGUGAUGCAUUGCAUAGCCUAAGAACUAACUUAAAUGAUCCCAAUAAUGUGCUACAAAGUUGGGAUCCAACUCUGGUCAAUCCGUGCACUUGGUUUCAUGUUACUUGCAACAACGACAACAGCGUUAUCAGAGUUGAUCUUGGAAAUGCUGCAUUAUUUGGUACUUUGGUGCCACAGCUUGGUCAGCUAAAAAACUUGCAAUACCUGGAGCUCUACAGUAAUAACAUCACUGGCACAAUACCUAGCGAACUUGGAAACCUCACAAACUUGAUCAGUUUGGAUUUGUACUUAAACAACUUCACUGGUCCAAUACCCGAUUCAUUGGGGAACCUAUUGAAGCUACGAUUCCUGCGUCUUAACAACAACAGUCUUUCGGGCACAAUUCCUAAAUCUUUAACUGCUAUUACUGCUCUCCAAGUUCUGGAUUUGUCAAAUAAUAAGCUGUCCGGAGAAGUUCCAUCAACCGGUUCAUUUUCAUUAUUCACCCCUAUCAGUUUUGGCAACAACCCUGCCUUAUGCGGUCCUGGGACUUCAAAACCUUGCCCCGGCGCUCCUCCCUUCUCCCCACCUCCAUAUAACCCUCCAACCCCUGAGCAAUCACCAGGAAGUAGUUCCUCUAGUACUGGAGCAAUUGCUGGUGGAGUGGCUGCUGGUGCUGCCUUGCUAUUUGCUAUUCCUGCAAUUGGUUUUGCAUACUGGCGCCGCAGGAAACCGCAAGAGCAUUUCUUUGAUGUACCUGCCGAGGAGGAUCCAGAGGUCCAUCUUGGUCAGCUUAAAAGAUUUUCACUAAGAGAAUUACAAGUUGCUACGGAUACCUUCAGCAAUAAGAACAUUCUUGGAAGAGGUGGAUUUGGCAAGGUCUACAAAGGGAGACUAACAGAUGGUACGCUAGUAGCUGUCAAGAGACUGAAGGAGGAGAGGACACCUGGUGGGGAGCUACAAUUUCAAACAGAAGUUGAGAUGAUUAGUAUGGCUGUACACAGAAACUUAUUGCGUCUUCGUGGAUUCUGUAUGACACCAACAGAAAGGUUGCUUGUGUAUCCAUACAUGGCUAAUGGAAGUGUUGCAUCACGUCUAAGAGAACGAGGGCCAGCUGAACCGCCACUGGAUUGGCAAACGAGAAGAAGAAUUGCAUUGGGUUCUGCCAGGGGCCUCUCCUAUUUACAUGAUCACUGUGAUCCAAAGAUCAUCCAUCGUGAUGUGAAAGCUGCAAAUAUUUUAUUAGAUGAAGACUUUGAAGCUGUAGUGGGGGAUUUUGGUUUGGCCAAACUAAUGGAUUACAAGGAUACCCAUGUAACAACUGCUGUGCGUGGAACAAUUGGGCAUAUUGCACCAGAAUAUCUUUCAACAGGAAAAUCCUCAGAGAAAACUGAUGUAUUCGGUUAUGGAAUUAUGCUUUUGGAGCUUAUUACAGGACAGCGUGCCUUUGAUCUUGCUCGCCUUGCCAAUGACGACGAUGUCAUGCUACUUGACUGGGUGAAAGGAUUGCUCAAGGAGAGAAGGUUGGAGAUGUUGGUGGAUCCAGACCUACAGACCAACUACAUCGAUGUUGAGGUGGAAUCGCUGAUCCAGGUUGCGCUCCUUUGCACACAGGGCUCCCCCACAGAGCGCCCGAAGAUGUCGGAAGUGGUAAGGAUGCUCGAAGGCGAUGGUCUUGCCGAGAGAUGGGAUGAGUGGCAAAAGGUGGAAGUCUCACGGCAGGAGGUAGAGCUGGUUUCUCAUCGAAACUCUGAGUGGAUCGUCGAUUCCACUGACAACCUCCACGCAGUUGAGCUAUCAGGGCCAAGGUGA